rnacentral:ncRNA from 1 species
ACGCCGCCCAAGGCGGCGUCCGCGGCCUCCAACGGGCCCAGGAGGCGGGGGUGGUGCCGUGUCGGCGCAGUACCACCCCCGCCAG